rnacentral:lncRNA from 1 species
GCCAUUGUUGUCUUGCAUAUCAAGUGGAAAACCAUUCCUCAUAUUUGUCUUGGAUAUUCUUGUGAAAGCCAUACCUCUUGGGAAAACUUCAAGAUAUUCUUCAAGAAGGAUUAAGGAGUUUUCAAAGCCAAACAUUUGGACAAUCUUCAAAAGGACUAAGGAUUUCCACUUAUGGAUUCAGGUACGCUUCCGCUUACGUUGUUAUUCCAAAUAAUUCGAUAUGAAGACUAUUAUGUUUUAGUCGGAUUUAUAAUC